AAAGAACCCCGGCGAGGGGAGUGAAAAAGAACCUGAAACCGUGUACGUACAAGCAGUGGGAGCACAGGUUUACCUGUGUGACUGCGUACCUUUUGUAUAAUGGGUCAGCGACUUAUAUUCUGUAGCAAGGUUAACCGAAUAGGGGAGCCGGAGGGAAACCGAGUCUUAAUUGGGCGUUAAGUUGCAGGGUAUAGACCCGAAACCCGGUGAUCUAGCCAUGGGCAGGUUGAAGGUUGGGUAACACUAACUGGAGGACCGAACCGACUAAUGUUGAAAAAUUAGCGGAUGACCUGUGGCUGGGGGUGAAAGGCCAAUCAAACCGGGAGAUAGCUGGUUCUCCCCGAAAGCUAUUUAGGUAGCGCCUCGUGAAUUCAUCUCCGGGGGUAGAGCACUGUUUCGGCUAGGGGGCCAUCCCGGCUUACCAACCCGAUGCAAACUGCGAAUACCGGAGAAUGUUAUCACGGGAGACACACGGCGGGUGCUAACGUCCGUCGUGAAGAGGGAAACAACCCAGACCGCCAGCUAAGGUCCCAAAGUCAUGGUUAAGUGGGAAACGAUGUGGGAAGGCCCAGACAGCCAGGAUGUUGGCUUAGAAGCAGCCAUCAUUUAAAGAAAGCGUAAUAGCUCACUGGUCGAGUCGGCCUGCGCGGAAGAUGUAACGGGGCUAAACCAUGCACCGAAGCUGCGGCAGCGACACUGUGUGUUGUUGGGUAGGGGAGCGUUCUGUAAGCCUGUGAAGGUGUGUCGUGAGGCAUGCUGGAGGUAUCAGAAGUGCGAAUGCUGACAUAAGUAACGAUAAAGCGGGUGAAAAGCCCGCUCGCCGGAAGACCAAGGGUUCCUGUCCAACGUUAAUCGGGGCAGGGUGAGUCGACCCCUAAGGCGAGGCCGAAAGGCGUAGUCGAUGGGAAACGGGUUAAUAUUCCCGUACUUGGUGUUACUGCGAAGGGGGGACGGAGAAGGCUAUGUUGGCCGGGCGACGGUUGUCCCGGUUUAAGCGUGUAGGUGUGUGUUCCAGGUAAAUCCGGUUCACUUUAACACUGAGGCGUGACGACGAGGCACUACGGUGCUGAAGCAACAAAUGCCCUGCUUCCAGGAAAAGCCUCUAAGCAUCAGGUAACAUCAAAUCGUACCCCAAACCGACACAGGUGGUCAGGUAGAGAAUACCAAGGCGCUUGAGAGAACUCGGGUGAAGGAACUAGGCAAAAUGGUGCCGUAACUUCGGGAGAAGGCACGCUGACACGUAGGUGAAGUGAUUUACUCAUGGAGCUGAAGUCAGUCGAAGAUACCAGCUGGCUGCAACUGUUUAUUAAAAACACAGCACUGUGCAAACACGAAAGUGGACGUAUACGGUGUGACGCCUGCCCGGUGCCGGAAGGUUAAUUGAUGGGGUCAGCGCAAGCGAAGCUCCUGAUCGAAGCCCCGGUAAACGGCGGCCGUAACUAUAACGGUCCUAAGGUAGCGAAAUUCCUUGUCGGGUAAGUUCCGACCUGCACGAAUGGCGUAAUGAUGGCCAGGCUGUCUCCACCCGAGACUCAGUGAAAUUGAACUCGCUGUGAAGAUGCAGUGUACCCGCGGCAAGACGGAAAGACCCCGUGAACCUUUACUAUAGCUUGACACUGAACAUUGAGCCUUGAUGUGUAGGAUAGGUGGGAGGCUUUGAAGUGUGGACGCCAGUCUGCAUGGAGCCGACCUUGAAAUACCACCCUUUAAUGUUUGAUGUUCUAACGUGGACCCGUUACCCGGGUUGCGGACAGUGUCUGGUGGGUAGUUUGACUGGGGCGGUCUCCUCCUAAAGAGUAACGGAGGAGCACGAAGGUUGGCUAAUCCUGGUCGGACAUCAGGAGGUUAGUGCAAUGGCAUAAGCCAGCUUGACUGCGAGCGUGACGGCGCGAGCAGGUGCGAAAGCAGGUCAUAGUGAUCCGGUGGUUCUGAAUGGAAGGGCCAUCGCUCAACGGAUAAAAGGUACUCCGGGGAUAACAGGCUGAUACCGCCCAAGAGUUCAUAUCGACGGCGGUGUUUGGCACCUCGAUGUCGGCUCAUCACAUCCUGGGGCUGAAGUAGGUCCCAAGGGUAUGGCUGUUCGCCAUUUAAAGUGGUACGCGAGCUGGGUUUAGAACGUCGUGAGACAGUUCGGUCCCUAUCUGCCGUGGGCGCUGGAGAACUGAGGGGGGCUGCUCCUAGUACGAGAGGACCGGAGUGGACGCAUCACUGGUGUUCGGGUUGUCAUGCCAAUGGCACUGCCCGGUAGCUAAAUGCGGAAGAGAUAAGUGCUGAAAGCAUCUAAGCACGAAACUUGCCCCGAG
rnacentral:rRNA from 1 species